rnacentral:rRNA from 1 species
CAGCAGCCGCGGUAAAACGAGGGGUGCAAGCGUUAUUCGGAUUGAUUGGGUGUAAAGGGUGUGCAGACGGCUUAUUAAGUCACUUGUUAAAUUCUUCGGCCUAACUGAAGGUCUGCAAGUGAUACUGAUGAGCUAGAGGGUGGAAGAGAGAAGUGGAAUUCUCGGAGUAGCGGUAAAAUGCGUAGAUCUCGAGAGGAACACCAAUGGCGAAGGCAGCUUCUUGGUCCAUUCCUGACGUUCAUACACGAAAGCGUGGGGAGCAAACCGGAUUAGAUACCCGCGUAGUCCCUGUCUCUUAUAC